GAUGAACGCUGGCGGCGUGCUUAACACAUGCAAGUCGAACGAUGAAGCCCAGCUUGCUGGGUGGAUUAGUGGCGAACGGGUGAGUAACACGUGAGUAACCUGCCCUUAACUCUGGGAUAAGCCUGGGAAACUGGGUCUAAUACCGGAUAGGAGCGCCUACCGCAUGGUGGGUGUUGGAAAGAUUUAUCGGUUUUGGAUGGACUCGCGGCCUAUCAGCUUGUUGGUGAGGUAAUGGCUCACCAAGGCGACGACGGGUAGCCGGCCUGAGAGGGUGACCGGCCACACUGGGACUGAGACACGGCCCAGACUCCUACGGGAGGCAGCAGUGGGGAAUAUUGCACAAUGGGCGAAAGCCUGAUGCAGCGACGCCGCGUGAGGGAUGACGGCCUUCAGGUUGUAAACCUCUUUCAGUAGGGAAGAAGCGAAAGUGACGGUACCUGCAGAAGAAGCACCGGCUAACUACGUG
rnacentral:rRNA from 1 species